rnacentral:rRNA from 1 species
UACGAAGGGGGCGAGCGUUGUUCGGAAUUACUGGGCGUAAAGGGCGCGCAGGCGGCCUUAGAAGUCAGAUGUGAAAGCCCCGGGCUCAACCUGGGAAUGGCAUUUGAUACUCUGAGGCUGGAGUACGGGAGAGGAGAGUGGAAUUCCCAGUGUAGAGGUGAAAUUUGUAGAUAUUGGGAAGAACACCGGUGGCGAAGGCGGCUCUCUGGACCGUAACUGACGCUGAGGCGCGAAAGCGUGGGGAGCAAACAGG